rnacentral:rRNA from 1 species
CCUACGGGUGACUGCAGUGAGGAAUAUUGGUCAAUGGACGAGAGUCUGAACCAGCCAAGUAGCGUGAAGGAUGACUGCCCUAUGGGUUGUAAACUUCUUUUAUAUGGGAAUAAAAUGUUCCACGUGUGGGAUUUUGUAUGUACCUUAUGAAUAAGGAUCGGCUAACUCCGUGCCAGCAGCCGCGGUAAUACGGAGGAUCCGAGCGUUAUCCGGAUUUAUUGGGUUUAAAGGGAGCGUAGGUGGAUUGUUAAGUCAGUUGUGAAAGUUUGCGGCUCAACCGUAAAAUUGCAGUUGAAACUGGCAGUCUUGAGUACAGUAGAGGUGGGCGGAAUUCGUGGUGUAGCGGUGAAAUGCUUAGAUAUCACGAAGAACUCCGAUUGCGAAGGCAGUUCACUGGACUGCAACUGACACUGAGGCUCGAAAGUGUGGGUAUCAAACAGGAUUAGAUACCCUAGUAGUC